UACGUAGGGCGCAAGCGUUGUCCGGAAUCAUUGGGCGUAAAGAGCUCGUAGGCGGCUUGGUAAGUCGGAUGUGAAACCUCCAGGCUCAACCUGGAGUCGCCAUCCGAUACUGCCAUAGCUAGAGUCCGGUACGGGGCCCACGGAACUCCUGGUGUGAGCCGGUGAAAUGCGCAGAGUAUACAGGAAGAACACCGGUGGCGAAGGCGGUGGGCUGGGCCGGCACUGACGCUGGAGGAGCGAAAGCGUGGGGAGCGAACAGG
rnacentral:rRNA from 1 species